CCUACGGGAGGCUGCAGUGAGGAAUAUUGGUCAAUGGGCGCGAGCCUGAACCAGCCAAGUCGCGUGAGGGAAGACGGUCCUAUGGAUUGUAAACCUCUUUUGUCGGGGAGCAAAAGACGCCACGCGUGGCGUUCCGAGAGUACCCGAAGAAAAAGCAUCGGCUAACGCCGUGCCAGCAGCCGCGGUAAUACGGAGGGUGCGAGCGUUAUCCGGUUUUAUUGGGUUUAAAGGGUGCGCAGGCGGAAGAUCAAGUCAGGGGUAAAAUUGAGAGGCUCAACCUCUUCGAGCCGUUGAAACUGGUUGUCUUGAGUGAGCGAGAGGUAUGCGGAAUGCGUGGUGUAGCGGUGAAAUGCAUAGAUAUCACGCAGAACUCCGAUUGCGAAGGCAGCAUACCGGCGCUCAACUGACGCUCAUGCACGAAAGUGUGGGUAUCGAACAGGAUUAGAUACCCUAGUAGUC
rnacentral:rRNA from 1 species